rnacentral:tRNA from 1 species
CUGUCUGUAGCUCAGUUGGAUAGAGCACCGGAUUCCGAUUCCGGGUGCCGCAGGUUCAAAUCCUGUCAGACAGGCCA